UUAGUUAGGCGCUCUAUUUAUUUUAAAAUAAUAAUAAAAAUUUUAAAAAAAUAACAAUUAAAAGAAACCGACAAGAUUAAAAACCCUAGAACUUAAGUCCCCUUGAUGAAUCAGUCUCGCCGCUGCUAUCUCAUUCCCUUCAAAUUUUUUUUUUCUUUCGCCUCCUUCUCCUCUCUUCCUCUUUAGAUCCUCUCAACCUCUUCUAGAAAUUUCAAACCGAUGAACCGAAUCGUGCACUCCAAAUUAGCCAAUGGCGAAGUGAUGAACAAGGAGCCUCGCAUCCUCCUCCUUAGCCAGUAAUGAUGUGAUGGUAGAUAUGAAAUUUGCUUGACAAUAGCAAGCUUGACACAGUCGGCUUAACGUACUUGUGUUAGUUGUAUUAGAGAAUUUGUCAUGUAAAGUUCUUGUAAGAAUUUGUAAUGUAAUUUAGUUAUUGCAACUCAAAUAUUUGCUAUUUUAAUUAAUACUAUGUAUUGCCCUAUUGGUACGGUGUUUUAUU